rfam:Aedes albopictus isolate Foshan contig48594, whole genome shotgun sequence.
UAGCCUAGUGGUUAAGGCUAUAGAUCGCAAAUCCAGAGACGGCGGGUUCGAUUCCCGU